rnacentral:misc_RNA from 1 species
GAUGAAGAACGUAGCGAAAUGCGAUAAGUAAUGUGAAUUGCAGAAUUCAGUGAACCAUCGAAUCUUUGAACGCACAUUGCGCCCGGCAGUAAUCUGCCGGGCAUGCCCGUCCGAGCGUCAUUUCUGCCCUCGAGCGAGUCCAGCAUCUAGGUGCUGGGCCCGCCCGGCGUUGGGGCACUACGGGAAGCCCUGUGCUGUCCCCCGUAGGCCCCGAAAUGAAGUGGCGGUCCUGCCGCGGCGCCCCCUGCGUAGUAUAACAGCUCGCUUCGGGACCCGGUGGAGGCCUGCCGUCAAACCUUACUCUCUAAGUUUGACCUCGGAUCAGGUAGGGUUACCCGCUGAACUUAAGCAUAUCAAUAAGCGGAGGA